rnacentral:rRNA from 1 species
CGUGCGCCCCGGGGUAUGGCGGGGCGCGGCGGACGGCUCAGUAACACGUGGCUAACCUACCCUCGGGACGGGGAUAACCCCUGGGAAACUGGGGCUAAUCCCCGAUAGGGGGGGCGGCCUGGAAUGGUGCCUCCCCGAAAGGGAUACGGCGCCAUCCCCGCCGUGUCCGCCCGAGGAUGGGGCUGCGGCCCAUCAGGUAGUUGGCGGGGUAACGGCCCGCCAAGCCGAUAACGGGUGGGGGCCGUGAGAGCGGGAGCCCCGAUAUGGGCACUGASACAAGGGCCCANGUUCUAUGGGGCGCACCACGCGCGAAA